GACGUUUCUAUGGAUGCCGUGAGAGUGGUGCUAGUUGCACGUCGAACGGAUAACGAGGUGCAAUGGAGUCGUUUGAAGCAAAAGAAGGAGAAAUUGCUCAUUUGGAGCAAAAAGGCAACAAGGUCAAUUCACAUGCGAUAUUUGGAGCAUGCGAGGUAGCGCAAGAGGAGUUGUGCAUGAUAUUAAGCUGUCAGUUUCCUAGAGCUGAAAGAACUGAGAAGCUGGUUAGCCCUUAACCACUCAGAGGGGUGCCAAUAUAAACUUCAUCCAUUACCUAACCCUAGCUUUCAGGGAAAACGUUUCUUUCAAUCAUUAUUUUCACCUGAACCAGAAAUUGAGAAGAAAAGAGAACAGCUGUGCAGCAGCCAUGAAAACCGAGAGAUUAGAGAAGAAUUUGUAGGUAAAGAUGGAAUUACAGAUGGGGAUCUGUUAGAUUGAGGUUUCAGUCGAGAAUUGAAGUGCUCUUGCUUUGAAUUUAAGAACCAGAAGAUGGGUUUUGACAGAAAUGGAGGAAAUGAAAUCUGAGAUUGAAUCUGAGUUAGGUUUGUGAUAAAUACUAAUGACUCAAAGAAAUGGAGUUGGAUUUGGGGUUCUGUGAAUCUCAGGAAAGAGAUGAAGCCUCUGCUAUCGAUUUGAGAAAGUGGAGAUUCAGGAGAAAAUGAGUUAUUGGUGUCUAUUGAAGGUCAUGGUGCUGUCAAGGAUGAACUCAGGGAAGUUGGUCGCUGCUCUUAUCAGAAAUCAGUGAUUGAGAGCCGGAGUUGAAGGUCAAUGGUGAUGAAUUCAAGAAGGUGUGUCUGUGUUUGAUGUUUGCUGCCGGUGCAAGGAAGAACUGAAGAUGCAGUUGUUGAAGAAAUUUUGAAGGAUGGGUUUGCCUCAGAUUUGAGUUCCAAGAGAGAUUGAAGUGUUCAUAAGGGGUUUUGUUUGAAUUCAGUUUUGGAGAGAUGGGUAUUGUUGUCUUGAGGAAAUGCUGCUGCUGGAUAUUACAGAUGAACUGAAGAUGAGCUUGAGUUGGUGAUCGAUUUGCUGGUGCUAUGCAGUGGUGGAUGUUGUUACAGUUGGUGUUGAAUUACAGGUUAAGAUGUUGGUGGCAGAAUGAAUGACAGUUGCAGCUGAACUGGAAGCUCAUAUGAAGGAAUCGGUUUGGAGCAUGCCUGUGACAGAACGGCAGUAUUGCAGGGUAGAUGACACUGUUGCUACAGAGAAUGUGCAAGGAUAGUGCUGAAAAGGUAUUGCAGUUGAGAUGAAAGUUGGAAAAGGUGGUGAGAUGGCUUGAACUGUGUUGAAUGAGUGCAACUAUGCACGUGACGGAAGUGAUGAUGAUUGUCUGAUGCUGUGACUGGUUGUGAGCUGCAGGAUGAGUAACUGGUGCUGGUAUUUGAGGCAAUGGUUGCAGGUGAUGGCAGGUUGAAGAAUGGAGCUGGGGAUGGAUGCAACGGCACUGCGAUGCAGGUGUCGGAUCUGUGUUGGUACAGGCUUGUGUGGGUGUUGGAUGUGAGAGUGUGUGAUAUUGCAGCUGUGGAAGAUGGGUUCUGGUGCUGAUAAUCGAGGUCUCAAGGUGGUUAUGCAAUAACUAGGCAGAGUGGUCGCAAUGCAACUGAAAUUGGUGGAAUCAGAAGGCAAGGCUGAGGAUUUUGAGAAGUUAGAAAAGACAUUGAUGUCACAGCUGUGAUGGAAUUGGUGGUAGCUGGCGUGUGUGAUCAAAUGGAGGAAGAAUGGAAGGGAUUAGGAACAAUGGUUGUAUGGCAAUGCAAGGAAUCAGCUGAAAUUGCCAGUAGAUGAACAAGUCAGGGAGAAGCUGAAAUGGAAGUGAUGCUUCAAGACCGAAAUGGAGAGUGGGUUGAUAUGAGUUACAGCUGCUGUUGUUAUGAGGUUUGAUUGGUGGUGCUGUUGAGCUAAGCAGGGAUAGAUGUGUGUUAGGACAGGUACAAUUGCAGGUGCAGAUUCAGGUGUUGGUAGUAUGUGCUGCAAACAAUGGAUUGUAGGCAUAAUGAUCUUGUGGUGAAGGUAGUAUGAUGAAUGGAACUGAACGUGGGGAAGUUGUUGUUGCUGCGAGAGUUUUGUUGCUCAGAAAUGUUAGAACUUGGUUGUACACACUGAAACUGUUCAAAUGAGCACAAGGAAGAACUGAAGAUGCAGUUGUUGAAGAAAUUUGAAGGAUGGGUUUGCCUCAGAUUUGAGUUCCAAGAGAGAUUGGAGUGUUCAUAAGGGGUUUUGUUUGAAUUCAGUUUUGGAGAGAUGGGUACUGUUGUCUUGAGGAAAUGCUGCUGCUGGAUAUUACAGAUGAAGUUAAGAUGAGCUUGAGCUGGUGAUCGAUUUGCUGGUGUUAUGCAGUGGUGGAUUUUGUUACAGUUGGUGUUGAAUUGCAUGUUAAGAUGUUGGUGGCAGAUGAAUGACAGUUGCAGCUGAACUGGAAGCUCAUAUGAAGGAAUUGGUUUGGAGCAUGCCUGUGACAGAAUGGCAGUAUUGCAGGGUAGAUGACACUGUUGCUACAGAGAAUGUGCAAGGAUAGUGCUGGCAAGGUAUUGCAGUGGAGAUGAAAGUUGGAAAAGGUGGUGAGAUGGCUUGAAUUGUCUUCAAUGAGUGCAACUGUGCACGUGACGUAGGAGAUGAUGAUUGUUUGAUGCUGUGACUGGUUAUGAGCUGCAGGCUGAGUAAUUGGUGCUGGUAUUUGAGGCAAUGGUUGCAGGUGAUGGCAGGUUGAAGAAUGGAGCUGGGGAUGGAUGCAACGGCACUGCGAUGCAGGUGUCGGAUCUGUGUUGGUACAGGCUUGUGUGGGUGUUGGAUGUGAGAGUGUGUGAUAUUGCAGCUGUGGAAGAUGGGUUCUGGUGCUGAUAAUCGAGGUCUGGUGGUGGUUAUGCAAUAACUAGGCAGAGUGGUCGCAAUGCAACUGAAAUUGGAGGAAUCAGAAGGCAAGGUUGAGGAUUUUGAGAAGUUAGAAAAGACAUUGAUGUCACAGCUGUGAUGGAAUUGGUGGUAGCUGGCGUGUGUGAUCAAAUGGAGGAAGAAUGGAAGGGAUUAGGAACAAUGGCUGUAUGACAAUGUAAGGAAUGAGCUGAAAUUGCUAGUAGAUGAACAAGUGAGGGAGAAGCUGAAAUGGAAGUGAUGCUUCAAGACCGAAAUGGAGAGUGGGUUGAUAUGAGUACAGCUGCUGUUGUUAUGAGGUUUGAUUGGUGGUGCUGUUGAGCUAAGCAGGGAUAGAUGUAUGUUAGGACAGGUACAAUUGCAGGUGCAGAUUCAGGUGUUGGUAGUAUGUGCUGCAAACAAUAGAUUGUAGGCAUAAUGAUCUUGCAGUGAAGGUAGUAUGAUGAAUGGAACUGAACGUGGGGAAGUUGUUGUUGCUGCGAGAGUUUUGUUGCUCAGAAAUGUGAGAACUUGGUUGUACACACUGAAACUGUUCAAGUGAGCACAAUGAAAUGGCUAGGUCGCUAGUAUAGCCGUGAUGCUGGUGGAGAACUGGUGGGGAUGCUUGUCAGUUCCACAAGACUGACAAGACAAAUAUUAACUGGGCCUUGUGGACUUUAUGGAGGCAUAUCCAGCAGAGUGUAUCUGGGCUCGACUUAUAUCUGGAAAUUGAGGAUCAGGUCGGGGAGGAAUAUAAAAGGGGAAUAACUACAGAAAAGAAAAAUAAAAUCUUUUAUCUUCUUCUACUACUUUUUUUAGGGUUUAGAAACAUGAUAGGUUUUCUCUUCCUCCUUGUUAUGAACUCCAUGAAUAUGAGUACCUAGUUUUUAUCAUUGGUUAAGGAAUAAGUUGGAUUUCCAAACAUGGGUUGUGUUCAAUAAAAUAGUUUUGUCUCCAUACUUUGUCGUUUAUGAUUCAUCGUUAAUAUUGUUAU